UCAAAACAUGAACUUGAGGGUUCUGAAUUGUUAAAAAUAGUGACCACAAGAGCUUAUUUUCUAGAUAAUUUUCUCUGUAUUUGAAUAUAUUCCACUUGCCAUUUGGAGAGGGAAAAAUGCAAGAGCAGAAGCACUUCUGAACCUUGGUCCACAUUAUUGAAGACCACUGUUGUGAAAGCAACUGUAAAGAGAUCAUUUAAAGUCAAGCAGUGAUACUGCUCACCAUGUCA